rnacentral:rRNA from 1 species
AUGAUCUUAGGAGCACUGGCCGCCAUGGCCCAAACGAAAGUCAAAAGACCUCUAGCUCAUAGUUCGAUUGGACAUGUAGGUUAUAUUUGUACUGGUUUCUCAUGUGGAACCAUAGAAGGAAUUCAAUCACUACUAAUUGGUAUAUUUAUUUAUGCAUCAAUGACGAUAGAUGCAUUCGCCAUAGUUCCAGCAUUACGGCAAACCCGUGUCAAAUAUAUAGCGGAUUUGGGCGCUCUAGCCAAAACGAAUCCUAUUUCGGCUAUGACCUUCUCCAUUACAAUGUUCUCAUACGCAGGAAUACCCCCGUUAUCCGGCUUUUGUAGCAAAUUCUAUUUGUUCUUCGCCGCUUUGGGUUGUGGGGCUUACUUCCUAGCCCCAGUGGGAGUAGUGACUAGCCUUAUAGGUCGUUGGGCGGCCGGAAGGUUGCCAUGA